UACGGAGGGGGCUAGCGUUGUUCGGAAUUACUGGGCGUAAAAGCGCGCGUAGGCGGCUUUGUAAGUUAGAGGUGAAAGCCCGGAGCUCAACUCCGGAACUGCCUUUAAGACUGCAUCGCUAGAAUUGUGGAGAGGUAAGUGGAAUUCCGAGUGUAGAGGUGAAAUUCGUAGAUAUUCGGAAGAACACCAGUGGCGAAGGCGACUUACUGGACACAUAUUGACGCUGAGGUGCGAAAGCGUGGGGGAGGCAAACAGG
rnacentral:rRNA from 1 species